GGGCCCGUAGCUCAGUUGGUAGAGCACCUGACUUUUAAUCAGGUUGUCGCAGGUUCGAUCCCUGCCGGGCUCACCA
rnacentral:tRNA from 3 species